rnacentral:rRNA from 1 species
AUUGAACGCUGGCGGCAGGCCUAACACAUGCAAGUCGGGCGGAGCGGCGGACGGGUGAGUAAUGUAUUGGGAUCUGCCUGAUGUCGGGGUCUAACUACUGUAAACGGUAGCUACUACCGCAUACCCUCAGAUGAACCCAUAUGGGAUUAGCUAGUGGGUAAGGUAACGGCUUACCUAGGCGACGAUCCCUAGCUGGUCUGAGAGGCUGAUCGGCCACACUGGAACUGAGAAACGGUCCAGACUCCUACGGGAGGCAGCAGUGGGGAAUAUUGGACAAUGGGCGAAAGCCUGACCCAGCCAUGCCGCGUGUGGGAAGAAGGUCUUCGGAUUGUAAAGCACUGUAAGUUGGGAGGCGUUACCAACAGAAUAAGCACCGGCUAACUUCGUGCCAGCAGCCGCGGUAAUAC